UACGUAGGGGGCAAGCGUUGUCCGGAUUUAUUGGGCGUAAAGAGCUCGUAGGCGGUUUGUCGCGUCCGCUGUGAAAAUCCAGGGCUUAACCCUGGACCUGCAGUGGGUACGGGCAGACUAGAGUGCGGUAGGGGAGAUCGGAAUUCCUGGUGUAGCGGUGAAAUGCGCAGAUAUCAGGAGGAACACCGGUGGCGAAGGCGGGUCUCUGGGCCGAUACUGACGCUGAGGAGCGAAAGCGUGGGGAGCGAACAGG
rnacentral:rRNA from 1 species